ACUCUCUUAGUAUUAAUUAGUACAUCUGACUUCCAAUCAGCUAGCUCUGGUACAAUCCAGAAGAGAGUA
rnacentral:tRNA from 1 species